GCCGCAUGCGCGCGGCGGCGCAGGGUUAUUACCGAGCUGAAAAACUCCCGCGGCCCAGUGACGUCAGCCAGUCGCUGUCGGAAUACGGGGCAGCGCGUUACUCACGUGGCUGUGGUCACGUGAUCGUGGAGCCGCUGGUGUAAACAAACUUGUGCCGUCACCCUGUAGAGUCGCCCGUACUGUUACAGUUCUGUGCGGAGCGCAAUGCGUGGUGAUGAUGACGAGCAACGAGCUACUGGCUUGUGGAUUUAAGAUACUAUACUUUUUAUUGUUAGAGAGCACUCCUCCUAGUUAUUUUGUUUAAAAAGUUAACUGUUAAUAUAAAACAGCCUCAGUUUUGUAACAGGUCUGGACUCUUCUGGUUUCCUCCUUUCAGGAGAUUUCUAGAAGGUAGCAUUGUUGUCACAGGAGAUGACAGUUCUGUGCUCGUUAUUGCCCCCAGGACCUUCCAGUGGGAUCAGGCGUGAAGGGCCCCUCACACAGCCUUCCUUUGGCCAACAGCCGUUUUGUGCAUUCCUUGGUGUCCUAACGGCAGAAGACCCUCGGGAUAUAGCUUUGUCCACACCGGGCCUGGCAGCGCCCGGCUGCUCUGAGUGAAGGGAUUGGCUCAGUCCCACAGUGUGCGUGUGCAAGCUCAGCCCGGGACACGGGGGUGUGUGAUGCAUCCUGAGCCGGGAGGCCUGGGAACAGGGGAGCUGAUGCUGUAAGUUCAGGCUGGGUCCAAAGGCCCAAGAACCGGGCAUCUGAUGUCCACGGGCAGGGGAGGGUGAUGUCCCGGCUCAAACAGCAAAUUCCGCCUUCAUCUGCCUUUUCCUUGUGUUUAGGCUCUCAGUGGAUUGGAUGACGCCCUCCCCCACUAACCAGGACUAUUUUCCUUACUCAGUCUAUGAAUUCAAAUGCUAAUCUCUUCUGGAAACACACACACCCAGCAAAAAUGUGUUACCAGCUAUCUGGGCAUCUCUUAGCUUAGUCAAGUUGACCCACAAAAUUAACCAUCACAACAACCAAAUCUGACUUACCACAGGAGGGCAAGUUUGGUGUGGCAUUAGAGAAUCAGUCAAUAUAUUUUACCACAUUGACUGAAGAAAAGGAAAAAUCAUCUCACCACUGUAUCUUUUUUCUUAGAUACAGAAAAAAAAACAAUUGAUAAAUUCAAUACACUUUCACGAUAAAAAAUUCUUGGCAAAGAAGACAGACAACCGUACAUCUCAGCUAAUAUUUUACCCUUAAUCCACAGAAUCAAUGUUAUUACAACAAGAAUUCAACCAGUUUGUCGCUGUUGCGGUAAUCAGCAAGCCUGUUCUAAAAUUCAUAUAAAAGAGUGACAGGCCAAAUAAAGAGUUAACAAUUGAAAAAGGAAGAAUAAAUUGUCAAGUAUACGAUACCAGAUAUCCACGCUUAUUUUCUAUAAAGCUGCGAUGCAGCAGAUUGGAUUUCCCCAGAGUGAAUAUGGAAAUAUUUCCAGCUCCUCCUGGAAAUGCCCACGAAGCCUCUAACAUGUGGGAACCCCACAUGUUCAGUUCAUACUGCUUUAAAUGUGAUUCAUAAAGUUGAACAGAAAGAACCACAAAGUUAAAAACAAUUUAUUUGUGCUCUACUUUUCCAUGCAGAGCCAGCCAGAUGUUAAUCACCAAACUGAGAGCCAGAGGCGGCUCUCUUUAGGUACAAAAUUAAUUUACCAGGGAUGCGUAUCCAAUUGCAAGGUUUUGCUAACUGGGUUAUAACUAUAUUUAGAACUGCACAGAAAGGAAACAGUGAUUGCUCACUUCAGUACUGAAAAUAAGAUGAAAACCUCAUGGAACUAAGAUCUGAACUUCAGUGAAAUACUCCAAAAAUAAACUAUAACUCUCAGGACGUGUUAGCUGCGAAAAACAAAACAAAAAACAAACGCAUCACAAACUGCAUUUGAAUAAAGAGCAAAUUCUGCCCAUUCACCUUUUUU